rnacentral:rRNA from 1 species
UACAGAGGUCUCAAGCGUUGUUCGGAUUCAUUGGGCGUAAAGGGUGUGUAGGUGGCGCCGUAAGUCGGGUGUGAAAUUUCGGAGCUUAACUCCGAAACUGCAUUCGAUACUGCCGUGCUUGAGGACUGGAGAGGAGACUGGAAUUUACGGUGUAGCGGUGAAAUGCGUAGAUAUCGUAAGGAAGACCAGUGGCGAAGGCGGGUCUCUAGACAGUUCCUGACGCUGAGGCACGAAGGUCAGGGGAGCAAACGGG